GUGGACGUGAUGCUGUGAGGCUUAAGGGGCUAUUACACUGGGCAAAUUUUCCGUGGAUCUUCAGUCAGACCACAAUUUCCGCUAGCGUGGUUUUCAUUUGUUUCUUGUUAUUCCUGAUGAUGAUGAUGGGGAGUAAUACCGUCGUCCUUCGGUGAAAUCUACCGUAGCUUGAGAAGAUCGUGGACACGUCGGAAAAUCAUGGAAAUUGAGAACCACGCCAGCGGAAAUCGUGGUUUGACUCAGAUCCACGGAAAAUUUGCCCAAUGUAACAGCCCCUUUGCACAGACACACACCACUCACUCCUGUAAGAAUUGUGUAUAUAAAUGUUUAGUGUGUGUGUGUGUGUGUGUGUUUUGAUAAGGAAAAUAACUAAAAAAUGUUAAAAUAAUCCUCUGAAUCAUCAUACACUUGAAUAACUGGAAUUUGAAUGUGGUUUUAUAUCUGUGGAUGUCAGUGACGGAUAUGAAAGAGCAAUUCCUAUAUGAAAGAACAGUUACUACAUACGGAAAUCCUUGUCUGGUGCCCGUAUUACAAGCUCUUCCUUUCUUGGCCAUUCCCUUGACAUUAGUUUCAUCCUGUUCCCUACAAGCUCGUUAUGCACACGUCAACAACUCAUUACGUUUGGUAGGAAAAAUUUGUUGUACAUAUAGCAAGAUAAUGGUGUUGGAUUCAAAGGUGUGAUAGUUCAGGGAGAGCCAAGAGUACUGUACAAGCUCCUGUUGGCUCCUGUUCCCUACACACUAGUUAUGCACACGUCAACAACUCAGUACGUUUGGUAGUAAAAAUUUGUUGUACAUGUAGCAAGAUAAUGGUGUUGGAUUCAAAGGUGUGGUAGUUUAGGGAGAGCCAAGAGUAGUGUACAAGCUCCUGUUGGCUCCUGUUCCCUACACACUAGUUAUGCACACGUCAACAACUCAAUACGUUUGGUAGUAAAAAUUUGUUGUACAUAUAGCAAGAUAAUGGUGUUGGAUUCAAAGGUGUGGUAAUUCGGGGAGAGCCAGGAGUACUGUACAAGCUGCUGUUGGGUCUGUGAUGGUAACAGCUCUCUAAGUACUAUAGCAAGAAAAUGUCAUUGGAAGUGAAGUUUGUGGAAUUCAAUGAAGACAGAAAAUAGUUAACUUGGUGUAUGUGAUGUAAUAACUCACAUUUCUUAGUAAUAACUGAUGUCCCUUGCUAGUAACUGACAUCUCUUGCUAGUAAUGAUAUCUUGUAGUAAUAACUGACAUCUAUUUCUAGUAAGUGACAUCUCUUGCUAGUAAUGAUAUCUUGUAGUAAUAACUGACAUCUAUUUCUAGUAAGUGACAUUCCCUGCUAGUAAGUGACAUCUCUUGCUAGUAACUGACAUCUCUUGGUAAGGGAGAGCUUGGCAUACGAGUGUUGGCGUUCAAUGUGAGUUUUUGAUAAUAAUAGAUAUAUAUACAUGUAUAUAUAUAUUCUUUUCUCUGUGGUGUAAAUACAUUGUACAUACAUAAAUACACUUUGUCUAUAUACACAAAGUUAAUGGAGUGUUUCAAAGAGAUUUCUGGGCACUGACUCAUGUAAUUUGGUGCAACAUGAGAAUAAUAUAGAAAAGUUAGCCAUAUAUUUUUUCCUCAUUGCGGGCAUAAAUACACUCUGUCUAUAUAGCCUAUACAAAGUUAAUGGAGUGUUCCAAAGAGUUUCUGGGCACUGACUCAUGUAAUUUGGUGCAACAUAAAGAGAAUAAUGUAGAAAAGUUAGCCAUAUAUUUUUCCUCAUUGUGGGCAUAAAUACACUCUGUCUAUAUACACAAAGUUAAUGGAGUGUUCCAAAGAAUUUCUGGGCACUGAGUCAUGUAAUUUGGUGCAACAUGAAGAGAAUAAUAUAGAAAAGUUAGCCAUAUAUUUUUCCUCAUUGCGGGCAUAAAUACUCUCUGUCUAUAUAUACAAAAUAAAUGGUGUGUUUCAAAGAGAUUUCUGGGCACUGACUCAUGUAAUUUGGUGCCACAUAAAGAGAAUAAUAUAGAAAAGUUAGCCAUAUAUUUUUCCUCAUUGCGGGCAUAAAUACACACUGUCUAUAUAUACAAAAUAAAUGGUGUGUUUCAAAGAGAUUUCUGGGCACUGACUCAUGUAAUUUGGUGCCACAUAAAGAGAAUAAUAUAGAAAAGUUAGCCAUAUAUUUUUCCUCAUUGUGGGCAUAAAUACACACUGUCUAUAUACACAAAGUUAAUGGAGUGUUUGAAAGAGAUUUCUGGGCACUGACUCAUGUAAUUUGGUGCAACAUAAAGAGAAUAAUAUAGAAAAGUUAGCCAUAUAUUUUUCCUCAUUGUGGGCAUAAAUACACUGUCUAUAUAGCCUAUACAAAGUUAAUGGAGUGUUCCAAAGAGAUUUCUGGGCACUGACUCAUGUAAUUUGGUGCAACAUAAAGAGAAUAAUAUAGAAAAGUUAGCCAUAUAUUUUUCCUCAUUGUGGGCAUAAAUACACUGUCUAUAUUGCCUAUACAAAGUUAAUGGAGUGUUCCAAAGAGAUUUCUGGGCACUGACUCAUGUAAUUUGGUGCAACAUAAAGAGAAUAAUAUAGAAAAGUUAGCCAUAUAUUUUUCCUCAUUGUGGGCAUAAAUACACACUGUCUAUAUACACAAAGUUAAUGGAGUGUUUCAAAGAGAUUUCUGGGCACUGACUCAUGUAAUUUGGUGCCACAUAGGAGUUAAUAAAAUAGAGAAGUUA